rnacentral:tRNA from 1 species
GCUCUCAUGGUGGAAUUGGUAGACACGAGGGACUUAAAAUCCCUUGGCCAGAAAUGGUUGUCUGGGUUCAACUCCCAGUGGGAGUACCA